UACGUAGGGGGCAAGCGUUGUCCGGAAUCAUUGGGCGUAAAGAGCGUGUAGGUGGCUCGGUAAGUCCGCUGUGAAAGUCCAGGGCUCAAUCCUGGAAAGCCGGUGGAAACUGUCGAGCUCGAGUCCGGAAGAGGCGAGUGGAAUUCCUGGUGUAGCGGUGAAAUGCGCAGAUAUCAGGAGGAACACCAAUGGCGAAGGCAGCUCGCUGGGACGGUACUGACACUGAGACGCGAAAGCGUGGGGAGCAAACAGG
rnacentral:rRNA from 1 species